AGCGAACGCUGGCGGCAGGCCUAACACAUGCAAGUCGAACGGAUCCUUCGGGAUUAGUGGCGGACGGGUGAGUAACACGUGGGAACGUGCCCUUUGGUUCGGAACAACUCAGGGAAACUUGAGCCAAUACCGGAUGUGCUCUUCGGGGGAAAGAUUUAUCGCCAUUGGAGCGGCCCGCGUCGGAUUAGCUAGUUGGUGGGGUAAAGGCCAACCAAGGGGACGAUCAGUAGCUGGUCUGAGAGGAUGAUCAGCCACAUUGGGACUGAGACACGGCCCAAACUCCUACGGGAGGCAGCAAUGGGGAAUCUUGCGCAAUGGGCGAAAGCCAGACGCAGCCAUGCCGCGUGAAUGAUGGAGGUCUUAGGAUUGUAAAAUUCUUUCACCGGGGACGAUAAUGACGGUACCCGGAGAAGAAGCCCCGGCUAACUUCGUGCCAGCCGCCGCAGUAACAC
rnacentral:rRNA from 1 species